CAAUUAUUGAUAAAGGUAUGUUUUUCUUCUCAGCAUACUCCUGUCUUUUCACAUUGCUGUUGCUAUGCACUUUGUCACAAGUAACUGUAAUUGGUUGUAGUUUUGCACAAUGACUCCCAGAGUGGGAAACGCCCCCUGCAAAAAUAGAAUAAAUUGAGCACUUCAAGAUAUGUAUUGCUCUUGGUAUAACGAGAGAACCAAGCAGUCGGCAACAUUCAUCUCUCCAGGGGGUGUCUAACUCGGUGUCACGGUGUGUUUGACCAAAACUUAAAUUUACGUGGGCUAUCCCUUUAAGUAAUUCAACUUUUUGAUGAUUGAGAUGCAUUGUCUAAAAUCACAUCAGUUUGGUAGCAUGCAUGUUAAAGGAAAUGGUCAGGGAACGCCAGGCUACCCUUUUGUCAC